rnacentral:tRNA from 1 species
ACAUUUCGCUUACACCGAAAACAUAUCUGUUUAACUCAGAUCAUUUUGA